rnacentral:rRNA from 1 species
GGAAUCUUAGACAAUGGGCGCAAGCCUGAUCUAGCCAUGCCGCGUGAGUGAUGAAGGCCUUAGGGUCGUAAAGCUCUUUCAACGGUGAAGAUAAUGACUGUAGCCGUAGAAGAAACCCCGGCUAACUCCGUGCCAGCAGCCGCGGUAAUACGGAGGGGGUUAGCGUUGUUCGGAAUUACUGGGCGUAAAGCGCGCGUAGGCGGAUUGGAAGGUUGGGGGUGAAAUCCCAGGGCUCAACCCUGGAACUGCCUCCAAAACUAUCAGUCUAGAGUGCGAGAGAGGUGAGUGGAACUCCGAGUGUAGAGGUGAAAUUCGUAGAUAUUCGGAAGAACACCAGUGGCGAAGGCGGCUCAGUGGCUCGAUACUGACGCUGAGGUGCGAAAGUGUGGGGAGCA